rnacentral:sRNA from 1 species
UCCCAUUCUUCUCGUUCUUCAUCCAUUGAUUUCACGCGGUGCCGUCUCCUUGUUCAGUUCUUCGUUGUCUUCCAAGUAACAUCGUUAGUUUCUUCAAACGAAAACCUUGUUAUUUGGUAAGUGCUGAGAAUUUCUAGAGAUGAGUUCAGGUCAGAGUGCUACAGCUUAUCCUCCACCUCCACCCGUUGGUUAUCCCAACCAAGACAUUCCACAAUACCCUCAGAAUUCAUCAAUCAUGGAAACUAAGUCCAAGGGUGAUGGCUUUUGGAAAGGAUGGUAAUUUUUCAUUCCUCUUUCUCCCCACAUGCACUAUCUUCAAUCUCCUUAAUUCAGUUUUUAAUUAACCCUCAAAGUUUGGUUUUCAUUUAAAAUUUAUUUGUUAGGGUUAAGAAAAUUUAUUUGCUUCUGUUAUUCUUUUUGUUUUUAAUUUUCACUGAGUCAUCAUUACAGAUUUUAAGUCAAGAGAGAAUGAUAGUAUGGUGGAAGACCUAACAAGAAUGAUCAAAGAAUAUUUUUCUUAGCACUAGAAAAAACUUCUUUUUUUUUUUUUGCUUUUUUCUAAAAUAUUUUUUAUAUUUUCAACUGUCAUUUUCUGUUUUCUUUAAGCGUAAACAUAACAUUUGUAUAAGUAAAUGAGACUUGAAAUAAAGUUGAAAAUAUUGACACGAGAAUCCUUCAUCUAGGAUAUGAGAGGGUUAAAAAUUCAAUUAAUCAUAUUUAAUUAGCGUCACUUUUGUUGUCUCAUUAUUUAUGACGUGUGAUUAUUUUGACGCAGUUGUGCUGCGUUGUGUUGCUGCUGUGUAUUGGAUGCAUGUUUCUAGAGGCUCGGAUUACCUUCUAUAUUUUAUUCUAUUGUUUAAUAAAUUAUGGAUCCUUUCAAUGUACUAAAUACUAUAUCACUCUUAUACAUUUACAUUUUAGGUAACUGUAAUAAUAUUUAUUCCCCGUUCUAUGGUUUCA